UUCAAAACGGGUUCAACGGCGUUUCCAAACUUCUCCGUUUUAGGUCUUCGUUUUCGCUGUUGCAGUCUGGACGGGAGCUGCAAACGUAGCAAAAGCUCUCAGUUUUAAUUGGAAAAACGCAGUAAUGUGGAUGGUGCCUUUGACCCCUCAAAGUGUCUACAACUCAACAUUCACCCAUUCACGCACUGCUGGCAGAGGCUGCCGCCUGCUCAUCACGAAGAGAAACUAAUGACACUCACAGUAUCAUCAAGGACAUUUCAACAUGCAGACUUUGGGGGGGGGGGUCAUCAACGUACCCCCUGGGAGAGGUGAUAAGUCUGGUUGUACUUCCACAUGCGCUCCAUCACCAGCUCCACUGUGUCGGGGUCAGGGGCCUCGCCGUGGAAGUCCAACCCCAUGAGGGCAGCCAUUCUAUGCAACAGGCCGGGGAUCUGCUCCAGCUGCUGACGGGCAUGGUCCACACGGUACGUCCAGGCGUGAUCCACCAGGAAGACACUGCAGGCAGAACAGUAAGAAGACGGACAUUCAGAACGGCUCCUCUGUCAUGGGGCUCUUGGGCCUGUGGCGCCCUCACCUGGUCGGCUCUGAGGCUUGCAGCCCACUCUCCCGGGUCACAACUACUUUACAGUUGAUCUCUGCUCCAUGGCUGUACUUCUUCUCACCGUUCUCCUCCUCAUCUUCUUGUUGGAACUGCAUGAUUCCGAAAACUUCGCCAGCAUCAUAAAUCUAUAACAUAUAAAAAGAACACGAGCACAUGUUCUCAUCCUGUCACCAGAUUUCAUUAGAGAAUUUGUCAUUUUAAAGUUUGCUCGAUGGCCAUAUAACACACGCCACUGACGCUGCUUUAAUAUAUUGUUAGUUCCAGUCUUCAACCUGGCGUAUAUCAAACGGCCCAAGAAGCAGCCCCUGUUCCAAAUGUCUGAACACACACACACACACACACACACAGGGUAAAGCUUUUAGCCGCUCUAUCGGGUGCGCGCAUUACAAAACCACGAUGGACAAAUUAAACCAUCAGACUUUUUACUGAGUUUGGCACAACUCCCUGCCUCGUGGCGUAGCUGAGUUCACAUGCAAUAUUCGCAGAUGCUCGCCGAGCCGUCACACAAGCUCAGGAUGUGCAUCUCAGCAAAGGGAAAGUAACGUCAGUCCUAUUUUAAUCCUAGACUGUAUAAAAGAUCUUAAUCCACACCAGCGGCUGUGCAGCAGGACACAAGACCAACGGGAAGCUGUUUCUGUUGCUCUACAGCUACUGACACACUGGAUCACAACGCGUGUGCCCCGCUGCUCUGAAGUUCACUAAGCGGAACACGGACCUCGUUUGCGAUUUUGUGGUGCAGGCUCCUCCAGUAGAUUUGGGGGAUUCCUGAGGACUGCAGGGCCCCGGCGUGUAGGGCCACAAAGGCUGUAAACCCAUCGUCCUCGACUCCAUUCAUAAUGACAGGGUUUGUUAUUAUGCUACUAUUAGAGUUCACGUUAUCGCUCACGUGGAGGUGACUUGAGCAAACCCGGAAGGACUACGGGUAGUGCAUUGUGGGAGAGUUUUAAAGGGCUCCAUCUGCUUUCAUCUACUGUAACUGUACCUCUUUUUUGCAUGCAAGAACAUUUAACCCUGUAACGCCAAGUGCAUCAUAUAUGAUCAUGAUACAUGAGUUUUAGAGAGCUCUACAUCAUCAGUGUGAUAUUCCCCCACCAAAAACCUGAUGUAUACAAUCAGAUACAUGCAAUGCACGGAUAAUCCACCAGGGGGCCCAAAAUCGCCCACCACAGGUCCUUCAGUUGAGACAGCCAAAAUGGAGGUUGUCAAUCGGUGACCUACAGGUGGUUUUGCAAAUUUGCUAAUUUUGAAUGAGUUAAGGUGAGAAAAACUUCAAAUUGUUUUGGAUACUUCAAUAUAAAUAUUUACUGGUUUGAAGCAAUGCAUAGUUACAUAAUAUUUCACAACUUAUUUUAUAGUACAAUUGUGUUGAAAAUGUGUGUAUCAAAUUAGAUCCAGCAGGUAUAUAAGGUCAUUUAUGUAUACAUGUGUAACUCAGUUUUAUUGCAUAUCAUUCAUUAUGUAUUCUAUUAAGCUACAUAAACUCUUUGAAUUAUUCAAGUAAACUAAUUAAAGGCAUAAUUUGGAAUAUUUAGAGCAGAAACUGAGAAAUUUUUGUAGCCUAUAUUUUAUUUUCCAAGACUCACUUCAUAAUAAUUGUCUUUUGGUCAUUGAUUUUAAAUAAAAUAAAUGACCAAUUCAGAGGAGAAAUACACAGUAAUUUGUGUUUGGUUUGUGUUUUUUAAAUGACAAAAAAGUACAGCAUUGAAGAUAUCCUGAAUAUGGGUGGCAAUUCAAGUGAUAUGGAGCACUUAGGGGAAGAUGAUGAUGCUGCUGAGGCUUAAAAUAUGUUGUGUUCUGUAUAUUUGUUAUUGUUUUUAAAAAAGAUGUGGGCAAAACAAUGCAAUAAAGUCUGAAUGUAUCAAAUAUGAUACAAAAC